rnacentral:rRNA from 1 species
GAGUAAUACAUCGGAACAUGUCCUGUAGUGGGGGAUAGCCCGGCGAAAGCCGGAUUAAUACCGCAUACGAUCUACGGAUGAAAGCGGGGGACCUUCGGGCCUCGCGCUAUAGGGUUGGCCGAUGGCUGAUUAGCUAGUUGGUGGGGUAAAGGCCCACCAAGGCGACGAUCAGUAGCUGGUCUGAGAGGACGACCAGCCACACUGGGACUGAGACACGGCCCAGACUCCUACGGGAGGCAGCAGUGGGGAAUUUUGGACAAUGGGCGAAAGCCUGAUCCAGCAAUGCCGCGUGUGUGAAGAAGGCCUUCGGGUUGUAAAGCACUUUUGUCCGGAAAGAAAUCCUGAGGGCUUAUAUCCUUCGGGGAUGACGGUACCGGAAGAAUAAGCACCGGCUAACUACGUGCCAGCAGCCGCGGUAAUACGUAGGGUGCGAGCGUUAAUCGGAAUUACUGGGCGUAAAGCGUGCGCAGGCGGUUUGUUAAGACCGAUGUGAAAUCCCGCGGGC